rnacentral:rRNA from 1 species
UACAGAGGUCUCAAGCGUUGUUCGGAUUCAUUGGGCGUAAAGGGUGCGUAGGCGGCGGGGCAAGUCAGGUGUGAAAUCUCGGGGCUCAACCCCGAAACUGCACUUGAUACUGCCUUGCUAGAGCUCUGGAGAGGAGAUUGGAAUUUACGGUGUAGCAGUGAAAUGCGUAGAUAUCGUAAGGAAGACCAGUGGCGAAGGCGAAUCUCUGGACAGCAGCUGACGCUGAGGCACGAAGGCCAGGGGAGCAAACGGG